AUUGAACGCUGGCGGCAGGCUUAACACAUGCAAGUCGAGCGGGGUGAUGGUGCUUGCACUAUCACUUAGCGGCGGACGGGUGAGUAAUGCUUAGGAAUCUGCCUAUUAGUGGGGGACAACAUCUCGAAAGGGAUGCUAAUACCGCAUACGUCCUACGGGAGAAAGCAGGGGAUCACUGGUGACCUUGCGCUAAUAGAUGAGCCUAAGUCGGAUUAGCUAGUUGGUGGGGUAAAGGCCUACCAAGGCGACGAUCUGUAGCGGGUCUGAGAGGAUGAUCCGCCACACUGGGACUGAGACAAGGCCCAGACUCCUACGGGAGGCAGCAGUGGGGAAUAUUGGACAAUGGGGGGAACCCUGAUCCAGCCAUGCCGCGUGUGUGAAGAAGGCCUUAUGGUUGUAAAGCACUUUAAGCGAGGAGGAGGCUCUUUUGGUUAAUACCCAAGAUGAGUGGACGUUACUCGCAGAAUAAGCACCGGCUAACUCUGUGCCAGCCGCCGCCGUAA
rnacentral:rRNA from 1 species